rnacentral:rRNA from 1 species
AACGCUAGCUACAGGCUUAACACAUGCAAGUCGAGGGGAAACGACAUUGAAAGCUUGCUUUUGAUGGGCGUCGACCGGCGCACGGGUGAGUAACGCGUAUCCAACCUGCCCACCACUUGGGGAUAACCUUGCGAAAGUAAGACUAAUACCCAAUGAUAUCUCUAGAAGACAUCUGAAAGAGAUUAAAGAUUUAUCGGUGAUGGAUGGGGAUGCGUCUGAUUAGCUUGUUGGCGGGGUAACGGCCCACCAAGGCAACGAUCAGUAGGGGUUCUGAGAGGAAGGUCCCCCACAUUGGAACUGAGACACGGUCCAAACUCCUACGGGAGGCAGCAGUGAGGAAUAUUGGUCAAUGGACGAGAGUCUGAACCAGCCAAGUAGCGUGCAGGAAGACGGCCCUAUGGGUUGUAAACUGCUUUUAUAAGGGAAUAAAGUGAGUCUCGUGAGACUUUUUGCAUGUACCUUAUGAAUAAGGACCGGCUAAUUCCGUGCCAGCAGCCGCGGUAAUACGGAAGGUCCGGGCGUUAUCCGGAUUUAUUGGGUUUAAAGGGAGCGUAGGCCGGAGAUUAAGCGUGUUGUGAAAUGUAGACGCUCAACGUCUGCACUGCAGCGCGAACUGGUUUCCUUGAGUACGCACAAAGUGGGCGGAAUUCGUGGUGUAGCGGUGAAAUGCUUAGAUAUCACGAAGAACUCCGAUUG